rnacentral:lncRNA from 1 species
UAGUUUUCUUUCUUUAUUGACUAUUAAACUUGGUUUCCUAUGGCGGAAAUGUAUGGUGGUUCCACCUAUAGAUUAGAUAUCUGGUCAUUCGCCACUUGGCUUUAGCUAUUUUACUUUUCCUUUAAUUCAAAUUGACAUUGGAAGAGGCAACAUCAGUUGGCUACACAACUAACCAAAAGUUCGAUCGAAUCCCAAUGAUGUGUCUUGACAGCUAGAUAAUGUGAAACCUUUUAUAAAAAUCGUUUUCUUUAUGCGUGAACUUUUAAAACUCACCCAAAUCGUGAGCCCUCCAUAAGUGAGUUUAGAUAGCAUGUGAAUUCUUACACUCGAUAUACUUCCUUUCAAACAUAAAUCGGUAAUUUGCCAAAAGGAAAACACUUUAUCAGCUAAAUACACACACCCACACACCCUCUCUCUCUCUCUCUCUCUUUUUUUUUUUUCAGAAGAAUAUAAUUUACAAUAGCAAGCCCUUUAUUAAAUGUACACUUGACAACCUUAUGAUGACAUGGCUAAUUGCUCUCUCCGGAGCUGGUGGAUGAAUAUUCAGGUGACACUAACCCACCUGCACUGGGGUGAAUUUUCUUGUUUUUGCUGCGUUUGCUCUCCUCAGUACUACUAAGUUUUUCUGUUAUGCACUUAGCUUUUUCCAUUUCCAUUUUCUUUAGUUUCUGCUCUUGUUUCUUCUGCUGCACGUAAGCAUGAGCAUAACUCAUUCCUAUCGAAGACAUUGCAAGAAAGACAAAACUGUGGAGUAAAUGAAUAUGUGAAGAGGGCAUGCACUGGAAAGAAUUUAUAGGGCAGGAUUUUUGCUGAUUUUUUAUUUUUUAUUUUUUUUUUAAGUAAUCCAUAUUGAAGUUUUGAUUCAACUAAUCUAAUGGCUGAGGAUUCUGGAUAUAUGUUAAUAACCUUGCUACAUUUACACUCUUCCUUAAACCUGUCUUUACACUUUUUUACGCGGCAACAUUAACAUGCUUGAUUUUAAAUUCAUCCAUUACAUAAUUGUACAGAUUUCCUUCACAGAGGGGAAAUGUCAAC